rnacentral:rRNA from 1 species
CCUUAUUAAGCACCAAGGAGCAGGUAUCAGGCACAAUUAUUUAGCCCAAAACACCUUGCUACGCCACACCCACACGGGCACCCAGCAGUGAUAAAUAUUAAGCAAUGAGUGAAAGCCAGCCCAAGCUCGACUUAGUUAUGAUCAUCAGGGCCGGUAAACCUCGUGCCAGCCACCGCGGUUAUACGAGGGGUCCAAAACAACAGACACCGGCGUAAAUUGUGGCUAGAGUACCUCUUAUUACGCUGAAAAAUGAAGAAAAGCCUAAUCGUAAAACCUAGGCCAAAAGAAACACAUAUUUUCAGCUAUAAAGCAACUUGAAUCCACGAAAACUAAGAAACAAACUAGGAUUAGAUACCCUACUAUGCUUAGUUGUUAACAUGACACCAAAAAACACCACUGUCCGCCAGAGAAUUACACGCGAAAAGCUUAAAACUCAAAGGACUUGGCGGUGCUCCGUACUCGUCUUAGAGGAGCCUGUCCUAUAAUCGAUAACCCCCGCUUUACCUUACCAUCUUUUGUUAAACAGCCUAUAUACCGCCGUCGCAAACUUACCCCAUGAGGGCACAAUAGUAAGUAAAAUAGUAGUACGCUAGCACGUCAGGUCAAGGUGUAGCUAAUAAGAUGGAAGAGAUGGGCUACAUUUUCUAAAACAGAACACAC